rnacentral:lncRNA from 1 species
GCUGAAAUCUUAGAAUCAACCCCACGGAAUGAAGAGGUUGUCGUAAUUCCAGCACUGAGUGUAAGAAUGGAAGCCUUACAUGUGAUUUUAUUCAAGUCCCCAUUUUAGAAAUGGAAAAACUCAGGCCCGAAGGCGAACGGCGAAUGCAGCAUCGGGACUCGAACCCAAGUCUGUCCCCGAGUGCGGGGCUAUUCCAGGCUCGGUGGUCUUGACCUCCACGGCCCUCCUCCUUGUUGCCUGCAGAAAAACGCCGCGGCCACGAUGCCGGCGUAUGUGGAGGGGGAUGUCUACCUGGUGGUGGAGCACCCCUUCGAGUAUACCCGCAAGGACUGGCGCCGCGUGGCCAUCUGGCCCAAUGAGCGCUACUGGCUGCUGCGGCGCAGCACGGAGCACUGGUGGCACGUGCGGCGCGAGCCUGGCGGCCACCCCUUCUACCUGCCCGCGCAGUACGUGCGCGAGCUGCCUGCGCUGGGCAAAUGACCUCCCCGCGAACGGGAACGCCCGGACGAGACAACCUGCCACUGCCGCGCCGCCAGGUCCCCCCAACAGUCCCCUCGGCCCCCGAGCCGCUCACCUACGACUACCGGCUUGUGAGCGCGGCGGCGGCAGCGGGCCCCGACAGCACCCCCGCGGAGCCCCGAGGCCGCGCCAGCUCCCUGUGCGGCCCUUCGCAACGCGGCGCCGCGACCCAGCGCAGCAGCCUGGCGCCCGGCCUGCCCGCCUGCCUGUACUUGCGGCCUGCGCAGUCCCUGGACUACCUGGCGCGCGCCGCCGUCUCGCCUCCCGCCGGCCACCUCGGAAGGAGCGGCAGCUUCAAGGCUGCAGUGUGGCGGGUUCCUGGAUGUGCCCGCGGCCCCUGGCGCGCAGCGACUCAGAGACCGUCUACGAGGCCAUCCAGGAUGUGCACGGCCCGCCGCGGGAGGAGAGCGGGGAACAGGGGUGGCGCGCUGGGGACCGCGCCCGCACGGAGCCGGGGCGCGAGGAGACCUGCUCCGCUCAGCGUCGGGCACGAUGCCCACCUCUGUCUGAAGACUUGGAAUGAGCUCCCUCUCCCCAACCGCGAAACGGGAGCGGUGCAAGCCCCUAGUCCCUCAUCUGCGAUUCCCAAGCUCCAAAGCUGCCUGGAAGCCCAGAAGUUUUUCGUAAUCCAAUUGGUGGCAAAAUUGCGCUUGAACUGAUGUGAGGCUGUUGAUGGUCUUUAUUUGUCAAACUUGUGUGAAUAUUCAUGUUUUGCUGCAGAAAUGCAAAUGAGCUCGAUGACCGGCUGCUGCCCCAAGCCCUGCUGGGAGGUUAUGUGACCUACAGCAGGUGUGUGCCCCAUAGUCUCUUUCCAAGUCCCAGCUGUUCUGUAUUCCGAAGCGCAUCUGGGCACGGAACGGGGGAUUGCGGGCUUGCCGCCGGCUCAACAGCCUUGCCAGUCUCCCAGGAGCCUGGGGUCAGAUGAGAGGGUGGAUGUGAAACUCAGGCGUCUGCUUCCCUUUGAGGGUGCUUCCAACAUUUCAGAUGGGUUUGUUUGGGUGCUUCCAACAUUGAUGGGUUUGUUUCAGAAAGGCGUCCGGUUAUGGUGAGGUUGUUUUUUUUCUCUCUUCAGAAUCCGGUUGUGUUAAUCAGGGAAAUCGAAAAUAAAGCACGUUUUAAAAACA